UAAGAGUUGGGCUGGUGGUGUUGGGAUGAAUUGUGUCCUCACAAAAUUAAUAUGUUGAAUCCCUAAUCCCAGCAUCUCAGAGAUUAACUCUAUUUAAAGAUAAGAUCUUUACAGAGGUAAUUAUGGUAGACAGGACCAUAUCCAAUAAGACUGGUGUCCUUCUAAGAACAGGGCAUUAAGGCACAGACACAGAGGGAAGACCUUGUGGAGGCUUGGAGGAAGACAGCCAUCUACUAUCCAAAGACAGAGACAUCAGGAUGUAACCAACCCUACAACACCUUGAUCUGGGACUUCCACCCAGCCUGUGGUGCUGGUCAUGCCAGCCUGAGCAGACUGUCACAGCCGGCUUUUCCUGACUCCCCUUUACAGAGGGCUCCUACCCUUCCUGCCACUCCACAGGGCUAUAGAAAGAUUUUUUAAAGAUCUAUAUGAAGAAUAAGAAGUUAGUCCCUUUCGGACAAAAAUCUUCAGUAAAAUUGAUCUGUGCCCCAGGCACACAAAGAAGCAGGAAUCUGGGUAUUCUCACUGUCAAUAUUCCAUAUGUCUAGCCCCUGGAAACCUAAAACAAGACCAGAGAAUACCAAGGAAGGCAGAUUAUUUGGAAGACAUGGAUGCCAAAGUGCUUCUCAAUCCAGUCUCAGAAGCCAGAGAUGUCAGUGGGUGCUGCUGUUUUAUUUCCUGUGAAUCGGAGGACGAUGAGAAACCAAAUGAAAAUAUUGCCACAGUUAAGAUUGAAAAGAAGGCAAUUUAUGAGUGAGGUGUGGAUUUCAAAUGAGAUCUUCUCUGUUGACAGAGAGCCUUUGCUCUAAGCCAAUACCUGAGCUUCUGCCAGUUUGAACAAUUAUAAUGGAGGAAGGAGAUGAGGGAUUAGAAAAAACAAAGCUGACAGAUGGCAAUUUGUGAAGAGUUGAAUCAACAUAAAUUAUAUCUCAUCAGUGAGCAGAGGAAAGAGAGGAUGUUUUCCAGUGUUCGGCUAACCACUGAGAUGGUGAACAUGCCAGAGGCACAGCAAGCAAACCACUGGGCACCCUCCAGAUCUGGAUGCAAGCACAGAGCUGGAGAAAUACCCUUUAUUGGAAAGCCAUAUGGAUUGCAAAUUGUGGAUAGACAUCUAUUUGAAACAAUACAAUAAAUGAACAUCUGGGAUUUUGGUAGGUGUCAGUCAUAGACUACAGAAAACCAGAACAAAAUUGCUCAUAACUAAAUAUGAUAAUGCAGAAAGUAUCCAAGACUCGCCAGUUCAAA
rnacentral:lncRNA from 10 species